AGAGUGAACGCUGGCGGCAGGCCUAACACAUGCAAGUCGAACGGCAGCACAGAGGAGCUUGCUCCUUGGGUGGCGAGUGGCGGACGGGUGAGGAAUACGUCGGAAUCUGCCUAUUUGUGGGGGAUAACGUAGGGAAACUUACGCUAAUACCGCAUACGACCUACGGGUGAAAGCGGAGGACCUUCGGGCUUCGCGCAGAUAGAUGAGCCGACGUCGGAUUAGCUAGUUGGCGGGUAAAGGCCCACCAAGGCGACGAUCCGUAGCUGGUCUGAGAGGAUGAUCAGCCACACUGGAACUGAGACACGGUCCAGACUCCUACGGGAGGCAGCAGUGGGGGAAUUUGGACAAUGGGGGCACCCUGAUCCAGCCAUGCCGCGUG
rnacentral:rRNA from 1 species